rnacentral:lncRNA from 1 species
GUGGGAAAGUUACAUAGGCAAAUGGAUGGGAUCGCUGGCGAUGGAUGAUCUUCUGGAGCUUGAACAAAUGCCCCAGGAAGGUUCCAGAUCUCACAGAUUCCAGGUCACAAAAGUAUGCUUCUAAAAAUAGUAUCUGGUCUUACCCUUGAAGCACAGGCAUCCUCUCUCUACGCAGCUCUGCAGCUCUCUUGCAAAGGACAGAGCACAAAGUACUGGGGACUUCUGCUCAAGGGCAAAUGAUGGACAGGAAAUGCAGUCACCGUAACAAUGCUGAGGAGAGAGCAGGGAACUCUGGCCAGCAUCAGAAGGUGGGCUCAGCCAGCGGUUACCAAAGGUCGGCAGCCUACCUGUCUGGGAGUCAGUACACUCCAGCUGUAACCGGCCACUCAUGGUCCUGUUCCCUGUUGAGUUUCUUGCCUUCAGUGGACAUUAGUCACUUCUAUCAAAUACACCUGGGAGGUGCCAGACCUUCUCUGCACCCGGAGUUCAGAGCCAACUUGGACUGAAAACUACAGGGAUGUGAGCCACCAGACUCCUUGCACAAGGACUCGCUCCUCUCACAUCCAGAUGGAUAGAUAGCCUAUGGGUUCAGUGAGCAGCUUGGAGGACUCUUCCCUGCAGGACCACAGUCCUCUGUCUUCUUGCCCAUUUCAUUGAGAACUGGAAGGGUAAUUCAUCAGGACCUGACACCCAAUGGGGAAACAUACUCCCUGUGUCUUUUCCCCAAGGCUUGAGCCUCUGAAGGCCAAAGAUGGAGGAGGACUCCUUGCCUUUCUUUAGCUCCAGAGACAACAACAGAGGCCAGGCAUGCAUGUGUGGAAGACAAUUUGCAGUAGUCAGUUCUUUCCUUCUACCAUGUGGGUUCCAAGGAUUGAACUCAAGUGAGUUUAACCAGGCUUGGCAGGAAGUGCCUUUACGUGAUAAAUCCUGCCAGUUCCCAAAAUUCUGUAUCUUGCAUGUGAGCACGCAUAGCUUUGUACUUAUGAGAAAUUGUAGCUGUGGCUAUAUGAACACUGCAUAUCUGUACCCAUGUUCACAUAUAGUGCUUGAGCAUUCGAGCCUAUUCUGUGCGUGUGUUGUACAGGUGUAUACAUCUCUGUGUGUGCCUUC